rnacentral:rRNA from 1 species
AGAGUUUGAUCUUGGCUCAGAUUGAACGCUGGCGGCAGGCUUAACACAUGCAAGACGAGCGGAGAUGAGGUGCUUGCACCUUAUCUUAGCGGCGGACGGGUGAGUAAUGCUUAGGAAUCUGCCUAUUAGUGGGGGAUAACACUUCGAAAGAAGUGCUAAUACCGCAUACGAUCUGAGGAUGAAAGCGGGGGACCGUAAGGCCUCGCGCGAUCGGAGCGGCCGAUGUCAGAUUAGGUAGUUGGUGGGGUAAAGGCUCACCAAGCCAACGAUCUGUAGCUGGUCUGAGAGGACGACCAGCCACACUGGGACUGAGACACGGCCCAGACUCCUACGGGAGGCAGCAGUGGGGAAUUUUGGACAAUGGGCGCAAGCCUGAUCCAGCAAUGCCGCGUGCAGGAAGAAGGCCUUCGGGUUGUAAACUGCUUUUGUACGGAACGAAACGGUCCGGGUUAAUACCCUGGGCUAAUGACGGUACCGUAAGAAUAAGCACCGGCUAACUACGUGCCAGCAGCCGCGGUAAUACGUAGGGUGCAAGCGUUAAUCGGAAUUACUGGGCGUAAAGCGUGCGCAGGCGGUUUUGUAAGACAGGCGUGAAAUCCCCGGGCUCAACCUGGGAAUUGCGCUUGUGACUGCAAGGCUGGAGUGCGGCAGAGGGGGAUGGAAUUCCGCGUGUAGCAGUGAAAUGCGUAGAUAUGCGGAGGAACACCGAUGGCG